rnacentral:rRNA from 1 species
GACGAACGCUGGCGGCGUGCUUAACACAUGCAAGUCGAACGGAAAGGCCCUGCUUUUGUGGGGUGCUCGAGUGGCGAACGGGUGAGUAACACGUGAGUAACCUGCCCUUGACUUUGGGAUAACUUCAGGAAACUGGGGCUAAUACCGGAUAGGAGCUCCUGCUGCAUGGUGGGGGUUGGAAAGUUUCGGCGGUUGGGGAUGGACUCGCGGCUUAUCAGCUUGUUGGUGGGGUAGUGGCUUACCAAGGCUUUGACGGGUAGCCGGCCUGAGAGGGUGACCGGCCACAUUGGGACUGAGAUACGGCCCAGACUCCUACGGGAGGCAGCAGUGGGGAAUGUUGCAAAAGGGGCGGAAGCCUGAUGCAGCAACGGCGAGUGCGGGAUGGCGGCCUUCGGGUUGUAAACCGCAUUCGCCUGUGACGAAGCGUGAAUGACGGUAAUGGGUAAAGAAACACCGGCUAACUACGUG